rnacentral:rRNA from 1 species
CGCCUCUUGCAAAACCAAAGAAUAAGAGGUCCCGCCUGCCCGGUGACUAUAUGUUUAACGGCCGCGGUAUUUUGACCGUGCGAAGGUAGCGUAAUCACUUGUCUUUUAAAUGGAGACCUGUAUGAAUGGCAUAACGAGGGCUUAACUGUCUCCUCUUUCCAGUCAAUGAAAUUGAUCUCCCCGUGCAGAAGCGGGGAUAAAAACAUAAGACGAGAAGACCCUAUGGAGCUUUAGACACCAAGACAGACCAUGUUAAGUACCCCUAAACAAAGACCCGAACUUAGUGGCAUCCUGUCCCAAUGUCUUCGGUUGGGGCGACCAUGGGGUAGCACAAAACCCCCAUGCGGAAUGGGAGAACAAGCCCAACACUCUUUUCCCAUACUCCCACAGACAAGAGCUACAUCUCUAAUCAACCAGAAUCUCUGACCUUUCAUGAUCCGGCCUUAGCCGAUCAACGGACCAAGUUACCCUAGGGAUAACAGCGCAAUCCCCUUUUAGAGCCCAUAUCGACAAGGGGGUUUACGACCUCGAUGUUGGAUCAGGACAUCCUAAUGGUGCAGCCGCUAUUAAGGGUUCGUUUGUUCAACGAUUAAAGUCCU